AUGAAAUAUAAUUUUAAAAAGCAUCCGUUCUUCACACCGAUCUUUGAGGUUCGUCGUAAAUGGGCACGACCUUAUUUUAUGGGAGUUUUCUGUGCAAAGAUGACAAGCACUCAACAUAGCGAGAGCGCUAACCACAUGUUGAAAUGCUAUGUCUCUCCUGGGUGUCAAAUGCAUUUGUUUCUCAAACAAUUCAAGAAUAUACUUUUUAACUGGGAUUCAGAUGAGAGCUACCAAGAAAACAAACAUCCAUAUAUAGUAAGUGCUUAG
rnacentral:rRNA from 1 species